GAACUCCCCCACGAUAGCCAUACUGCCCAGCUCUCGGUCCCAGGACAGGUACAGCAAGCCCAAGAAAUCAGAAUAUGAAUGCCACUGGAAAGAUACACUCAGCUGCGUGUACAGGUCUCAAGAAGAAGGGCCACAGCACAUUGCAAGGGGCCACCCCUGGAAGCACCAAGGACCAGGAAGCAGAGCGAGGAAGGCAAACACGGGCAAGAGCUUUCACUGUGGUUUCCACAGAAAAGCUCAGGAAUUAGAUAAUGUUCCCGGUACAGAACUGUACCUGGCCUGAGGAGUGAGCUUUAGAGAGAUCCGAAGAUGCUCCAGAAAGAGAGUGACCGAGGGACCAGCAGACGAUGUAAUGGUUAUGCUGCAACUCACACCAGAUGCGUGUACGU